GGGGAAUUUUGGACAAUGGGCGCAAGCCUGAUCCAGCCAUGCCGCGUGCGGGAAGAAGGCCUUCGGGUUGUAAACCGCUUUUGUCGGGGAAGAAAUCUCUCGGGCUAAUACCUCGGGGGGAUGACGGUACCCGAAGAAUAAGCACCGGCUAACUACGUGCCAGCAGCCGCGGUAAUACGUAGGGUGCGAGCGUUAAUCGGAAUUACUGGGCGUAAAGCGUGCGCAGGCGGUCGUGCAAGACAGAUGUGAAAUCCCCGGGCUCAACCUGGGAACUGCAUUUGUGACUGCACGGCUGGAGUACGGCAGAGGGGGAUGGAAUUCCGCGUGUAGCAGUGAAAUGCGUAGAUAUGCGGAGGAACACCGAUGGCGAAGGCAGUCCCCUGGGCCUGUACUGACGCUCAUGCACGAAAGCGUGGGGAGCAAACA
rnacentral:rRNA from 1 species